rnacentral:misc_RNA from 1 species
GAUGAAGAACGCAGCGAAAUGCGAUAAGUAAUGUGAAUUGCAGAAUUCAGUGAAUCAUCGAAUCUUUGAACGCAUCUUGCGCUGCUUGGUAUUCUGAGGAGCAUGCCUGUUUGAGUGUCAUUAAAUUCUCAACUACACUGACUUUGAAUUGGUGUGGCUUGGAUUUGGGGGGAAAAUUGUUGUGGGCUUUUUGUAUAGUCUGCUCCCCUGAAAUUGAUUAGCGGUACCUUUGUGGAACUGUCUACAGGUGUGAUAAUUAUCUACAUCAUAAACAUCUGCUGGAAUGCUGCUUUCUAAACCUUACUUGUAUUGACAAUCUUGACCUCAAAUCAGGUAGGACUACCCGCUGAACUUAAGCAUAUCAAUAAGCGGAGGA